rnacentral:pre_miRNA from 1 species
GUGUGUGUGUGUGUGUGUGUGUGUGUGUGUGUGUGUGCGCGCGCACACGCUCAUGCAUGCCUGCACGCG